ensembl:snRNA U6 U6 spliceosomal RNA
GUGCUUGCUUUAGCAGUACAUGUACUUAAAAUCAAAACAAUACAGAGAAGAUUAGCAUGGCCCCUGUGCAAGGAUGACACUCGAAUUCAUGAUGCAUUCCAUAUUUAA